AGUGGAUGGGGAGCAACCUAGUUGUGCGUGUGUAAAGGUAGUGCCAAGAAAAGCGAUGAUCAUGUUGAAAAUCAAUUCCCGGUACCCGAAACCGACACAGGUGGGCAAGUAGAGAAUACUAAGGGGCGCGAGGUAACUCUCUCCAAGGAACUCGGCAAAAUGACCCCGUAACUUAGGGAGAAGGGGUGCCACCGAGAGGUGGUCGCAGUGAAGAGGCCCAGGCGACUGUUUAGCAAAAACAUAGGUCUCUGCAAACUCGAAAGAGGAGGUAUAGGGGCUGACGCCUGCCCAGUGCCGGAAGGUUAAAGAAGUUGGUCAGUCUUAGGAUGAAGCUAGCGACUGAAGCCCCGGUGAACGGCGGCCGUAACUAUAACGGUCCUAAGGUAGCGAAAUUCCUUGUCGGGUAAGUUCCGACCCGCACGAAAGGCGUAACGAUCUGGGCGCUGUCUCGGAGAGAGGCUCGGCGAAAUAGGAUUGUCUGUGAAGAUACGGACUACCUGCAUUUGGACAGAAAGACCCUAUGAAGCUUUACUAUAGCUUGGAAUUGUGUUCGGGCUUCCUGUGCGCAGGAUAGGUGGGAGGCGUAGAAGGUAUUCUUGUGGGGAUACUGGAGCCAACGGUGAGAUACCACUCUCAGGAGGCUGGAAUUCUAACUUAAUUAAGGACAGUUUCAGGUGGGUAGUUUGACUGGGGCGGUCGCCUCCAAAAAGGUAACGGAGGCGUACAAAGGUUCCCUCAGACUGGUUGGAAAUCAGUCGAAGAGUGCAAAGGCAGAAGGGAGCUUGACUGCGAGAAGUACAGUUCGAGCAGGGUGGAAACACGGUCUUAGUGAUCCGACGGUGCUGUGUGGAAGGGCCGUCGUUCAACGGAUAAAAGUUACUCUAAGGAUAACAGGCUGAUCUCCCCCAAGAGUUCACAUCAACGGGGAGGUUUGGCACCUCGAUGUCGGCUCAUCGCAACCUGGGGCGGAAGUACGUCCCAAGGGUUGGGCUGUUCGCCCAUUAAAAGCGGUACGUGAGCUGGGUUCAGAACGUCGUGAGACAGUUCGGUCCAUAUCCGAUGUAGGCGUGAGAAUAUUGAGAGGAGCCUUCCUUAGUACGAGAGGACCCGGAAGGACGCACCGCUGGUGUACCUGUUAUGAUGCCAAUUGUAAACGCAGGGUAGCCAAGUGCGGAGAGGAUAACCGCUGAAAGCAUCUAAGUGGGAAGCCCACCUCAAGAUGAGUAUUCUGGUGUAAGGUCACGGGAAGACGACCCGUAAAUAGGCACGAGGUGGAAGUGCAGAGAUGUAUGAAGCCGAAGUGUACUAAUAGACCGUCGGCUUGAUA
rnacentral:rRNA from 1 species